GACGAACGCUGGCGGCGUGCCUAAUACAUGCAAGUUGAGCGCUGAAGGUUGGUACUUGUACCAACUGGAUGAGCAGCGAACGGGUGAGUAACGCGUGGGGAAUCUGCCUUUGGGCGGGGGACAACAUUUGGAAACGAAUGCUAAUACCGCAUAAAAACUUUAAACACAAGUUUUAAGUUUGAAAGAUGCAAUUGCAUCACUCAAAGAUGAUCCCGCGUUGUAUUAGCUAGUUGGUGAGGUAAAGGCUCACCAAGGCGAUGAUACAUAGCCGACCUGAGAGGGUGAUCGGCCAAAUUGGGACUGAGACACGGCCCAAACUCCUAAGGGAGGCAGCAGUAGGGAAUCUUCGGCAAUGGACGAAAGUCUGACCGAGCAACGCCGCGUGAGUGAAGAAGGUUUUCGGAUCGUAAAACUCUGUUGGUAGAGAAGAACGUUGGUGAGAGUGGAAAGCUCAUCAAGUGACGGUAACUACCCAGAAAGGGACGGCUAACUACGUG
rnacentral:rRNA from 1 species